AAAACAUGGCUCCUCGAAUUUUAAUGAUGGGGAGUCGGACCUGCCCAGUGAAUUUUUCAACGGCCGCGGUACUCUGACCGUGCAAAGGUAGCAUAAUCAUUUGCCUUAUAAUUGAAGGCUAGUAUGAAUGGUUUGACAUGAAUGUAGCUGUCUCUUUAUAAUUUAAUAGAAUUUUAUUUUCAGGUGAAGAAGCCUGUAUCUAAUUAAAAGACAAGAAGACCCUAUCGAGCUUAAAAAAAAUUAAUAGAAUUAUAAUUAAUACUACCUAAAAAAUUAUCUAUUAUUUAUUUUAGUUGGGGCGACUGAGGAACAUAAAAAGCUUCCUUUAUAAAUUAGUUUAAGUCAGACUAGAAUUGAUCCAAAACAUUUUGAUUAAAGGAAUUAGUUACCGUAGGGAUAACAGCAUUAUCUUUUUUAAGAGCUCAUAUCGAAAAAAAGGCUUGUGACCUCGAUGUUGGACCAGAAUAUCCUAAAGAUGCAGCAGUCUUUAAGGGUUGGUCUGUUCGACCAUUAAAAUUCUACGUGA
rnacentral:rRNA from 1 species